UAGCAAAAUACAGUUUGCCAUAACAUCCAAACAGUAAGCGUCUCCCAACUGAUGAUGUUAACGUAUCACAAAUUAUUACCUCUGUGUUGAACAAUAUGAAGCCUAACACUUUAUAUUAUAAGAAACGGCUUACGAAGUUCAUACCAGAUUGUAACACUAUGUUAUACUGUUCAGUUUAUGUAAACUGUUAUGGAAACAUAAACUUGUGAUAAAUGGUUGAAUUAAAGCCUUACUCUAUGUCAAAAGGUUGGUUUGAAUAUUUGUAGUUAACACUUACACACGCUCGUCCCACUGUGUGAAACAAUGUUUCAACAAUUUGUCAAACUGUUGCAUGUAGUUGUAUUUGUUUUGGAUUGAAUGUUGACCGAAAAAAAAAUUAGAGGCAGUUUAGUUUUUCUUGUGCACUUUAUUGUUAUGGUGUUCGCUUUUUUUUUUUUCGCGAGUUAAAUGCUAGAACUUCCGCUAAGGAACGCCGAAAAAAGCUGAUUUUCCGUUCAGCAAUCAGGAACGUUACUUUCGACGCUCUUUCCUCACACAUCGCAGCGGUGGAACCCGAUCGGAGCUGCUUUUAUUUACCACCACCCACCAGCGCAACGGAGCUUGAUCAACCCACAAGCAGAUCCAGCCGAUCCCACACCCGGUUCAUUAGGUACAGCAAAUGGAAUCGUAUCGCGGUCCGGAUUGCGACCUAGCAGCGAUGAUUGUGAUGAAUAGACGGUUUCCGGAGUAUUCAACUAGAGUGUGUAAGCAUUCACAGCAGUAUCUGUCUCGGUUAGGAUCAACAAGAAGAUGUAACUAGCACGGCAUAGACACAUCACCGCAAGGCAAUAAUUAUUGAUGGCGUGGCAGUUAUCAAUCGCAUUUUCAGCGAAACCGGAACGACACUGGGGCACGUACGGAUUGAUGCUAUGCGAGGUUCAGUUUAUUUCAUCAGUUACUGGUCGUCGGAUGGGAUGAUGUGAAAGCAAAGUUAGAAGCAUUUGCCGAGAAUUGAAUAUGCCCGGUCUUCUGUCCUGUUGUGACCCUGUGAUAGGCGGAAAGGACUACCGCCACCGAAUAUCCACCUCCUUGGAAAUUUAAGACACAAUACAUACAAGAAGAAAGAUAUAGUGUAGUAGUAGAAAAAUAGGAUCUCGUUCUUAGUUCCGGAGACAAAUUUACAUUCGGAGGCACACACUGCCGUGUGCAGCAUAGUAUCUUAAUCUAAUAGGGAUUCUCAUAGAACAUGGGGCAACUAUGCUGCUCACGGCAGCACAGUGGUCCAAAAUCCUACUUGGUUGAGUAUCUGAACUAAGAGACGGCGUGAAAAGCGCUAAUUGCACUAAAACACAUCAUUUUGUAACUAUUAUUCAUGCGAGUAUUCAUGUUAAUUUAUUUCAAAUCUAUGCUUGAAAGCUUUUGUAACUGAAAAUCGAUAAAUAAAUAACGAUAGUUUGAUAGAUAACCGAAA